rnacentral:snRNA from 1 species
AGACUCAUGGCCUAAGCUGGUGACUUCCAUUGCACUUUGGAAGGGUGCCCGCCUAAGGUCGGACCAAGUGGUCUAGCCUAUGUCAUAAUUUGUGAUAGUGGGGCACGCGUUUGCGCGGCCCCUUC